rnacentral:tRNA from 1 species
CAGAAGAUAGUUUAAUAAAAAUACUGGCUUUGGGGGCUAGUGAUAAGGAGAUAUCCUUUCUUUUGA